rnacentral:rRNA from 1 species
GUCCACGCUGUAAACGAUGAGAACUAGGUGUUGCGGGUAUUGACCCCUGCAGUGCCGUAGCUAACGCAUUAAGUUCUCCGCCUGGGAAGUACGGUCGCAAGACUAAAACUCAAAGGAAUUGACGGGGGCCCCGCACAAGCGGUGGAGCAUGUGGUUUAAUUCGACGCAACGCGCAGAACCUUACCUGGUCUUGACAUCUACGGAACCUUCGUGAAAGCGAGGGGUGCCUUUCGGGGAGCCGUAAGACAGGUGCUGCAUGGCUGUCGU